AGGACGAACGCUGGCGGCGUGCUUAACACAUGCAAGUCGAACGGAAAGGCCCGCUUGCGGGUACUCGAGUGGCGAACGGGUGAGUAACACGUGGGCAACCUGCCCUCAGCUUCGGGAUAACACUUGGAAACAGGUGCUAAUACCGGAUAACAACUUUUCAUCGCAUGGUGGAUGGUUCAAAGUUUUUCGGCUGAGGAUGGGCCCGCGGCCUAUCAGCUUGUUGGUGGGGUGAUGGCCUACCAAGGCGACGACGGGUA
rnacentral:rRNA from 1 species